rnacentral:rRNA from 1 species
GACGAACGCUGGCGGCGUGCUUAACACAUGCAAGUCGAACGGAAAGGCCCUGCUUUUGUGGGGUGCUCGAGUGGCGAACGGGUGAGUAACACGUGAGUAACCUGCCCUUGACUUUGGGAUAACUUCAGGAAACUGGGGCUAAUGCCGGAUAGGAGCUCCUGCUGCAUGGUGGGGGUUGGAAAGUUUCGGCGGUUGGGGAUGGACUCGCGGCUUAUCAGCUUGUUGGUGGGGUAGUGGCUUACCAAGGCUUUGACGGGUAGCCGGCCUGAGAGGGUGACCGGCCACAUUGGGACUGAGAUACGGCCCAGACUCCUACGGGAGGCAGCAGUGGGGAAUAUUGCACAAUGGGCGGAAGCCGGAUGCAGCAACGCCGCGUGCGGGAUGACGGCCUUCGGGUUGUAAACCGCUUUCGCCUGUGACGAAGCGUGAGUGACGGUAAUGGGUAAAGAAGCACCGGCGAACUACGU